rnacentral:rRNA from 1 species
GAUGAACGCUGGCGGCGUGCCUAAUACAUGCAAGUCGAGCGAACGGACGAGAAGCUUGCUUCUCUGAUGUUAGCGGCGGACGGGUGAGUAACACGUGGAUAACCUACCUAUAAGACUGGGAUAACUUCGGGAAACCGGAACUAAUACCGGAUGAUAUUUUGAACCGCAUGGUUCAAAAGUGAAAGACGGUCUUGCUGUCACUUAUAGAUGGAUCCGCGCUGCAUUAGCUAGUUGGUAAGGUAACGGCUUACCAAGGCAACGAUGCAUAGCCGACCUGAGAGGGUGAUCGGCCACACUGGAACUGAGACACGGUCCAGACUCCUACGGGAGGCAGCAGUAGGGAAUCUUCCGCAAAGGGCGAAAGCCUGACGGAGCAACGCCGCGUGAGUGAUGAAGGUCUUCGGAUCGUAAAACUCUGUUAUUAGGGAAGAACAUAUGUGUAAGUAACUGUGCACAUCUUGACGGUAGCUAAUCAGAAAGCCACGGCUAACUACGUG